CAAGCAGAAAGUUGGUUGGU
rnacentral:siRNA from 1 species